rnacentral:rRNA from 1 species
GACGAACGCUGGCGGCGUGCCUAAUACAUGUAAGUCGAACGAAGUGGGGACGGGUGAGUAACCCGUGGGUAACCUCCAAUCAGAGGGGAUAACACUUGGAAACAGGUGCUAAACCGAUACUGAUGGAUGGACCAGCGGUGCAUGAGGUAGUUGGUGAGGUAACGGCUCACAAAGGCCACGAUGCAUAGGCGACCGUAGAGGGUGAUCGGCCACACUGGGACUGCGACACGGCCCAGACUCCUCCGGGAGGCAGCAGUAGGGAAUCUUCGGCAAUGGGCGAAAGUCUGGCCGAGCAACGCCGCGUGAGUGAAGAAGGUUUUCGGAUCGUAAAACUCUGUUGUUAGAGAAGCGGUAUCUAACCAGAAAGCCACGGCUAACUACGUGCCAGCCGCCGCGGUAAUAC